GACGAACGCUGGCGGCGUGCCUAAUACAUGCAAGUAGAACGCUGAAGGAGGAGCUUGCUUCUCUGGAUGAGUUGCGAACGGGUGAGUAACGCGUAGGUAACCUGCCUGGUAGCGGGGGAUAACUAUUGGAAACGAUAGCUAAUACCGCAUAAUAGUAGAUGUUGCAUGACAUUUGCUUAAAAGGUGCAAUUGCAUCACUACCAGAUGGACCUGCGUUGUAUUAGCUAGUUGGUGAGGUAACGGCUCACCAAGGCAACGAUACAUAGCCGACCUGAGAGGGUGAUCGGCCACACUGGGACUGAGACACUGCCCAGACUCCUACGGGAGGCAGCAGUAGGGAAUCUUCGGCAAUGGACGGAAGUCUGACCGAGCAACGCCGCGUGAGUGAAGAAGGUUUUCGGAUCGUAAAGCUCUGUUGUAAGAGAAGAACGAGUGUGAGAGUGGAAAGUUCACACUGUGACGGUAUCUUACCAGAAAGGGACGGCUAACUACGUG
rnacentral:rRNA from 1 species